UUCCUAUACCGUGGUUUGAGUGCGGUUUUCGAAUCGUAUUGUAUGACGUAUGAAUUCAUUAUUACGAUAAUAUAAUGACACAUGAGCUUGACAACGUGAGAAUAACAAAUACAAUCAAUUACAAAGCCUGCAAUUCGAGAAGACAAUAUCACGAUGUGACCGAAUUGGUACAGUUGCUGUUGCGAAUGAUAAUGACGUACAACACGAAUGACAAUAUAAGGAUAUUGUUUUUAUGCGAACCCACCUUUUUUGUCACACAAGACGUCUGCGGAAAUACGUUGCAAUACUCUGUGAUAUAUAUACACGACCGUAAUAAUUAUUAAAGUCAAUGACGCAACUUCGGCGAUCGACUUAAAUAUAGGUGGUUUAUUAUGAUUAUUAUUAUAUCACCUUUUUUGCUACGAUUAAGUAUAAAAAAAAAAAAAACAAUGGAAUUAAAAAAAAAACUGUUACGGGCCUUGCGUUUGCUUCGAGAUGAUUGCGUGUAAUAUAUAUUAAUGAAAAAAAAGUAAAUAUAAUAAAAGCAAAGAGAGAGAGAGAGAAAACGGUAACAAAUGAUGGCCACACGUGACUAGUUUGGUAAAAAAAUAAAUAAAUAACGGUACAGUGCAGCUGAUGGGUAUAUGACGGCAAACCACGUCGUGUACGUCGGAUUUAAAAAUAAAUGAAUACGCGUACAACUACACGAUAAAAUACAACUAUACACGAGCAGCUGUAUAAUAUGGAAUCGACAAUAUACAAUACAACAUCACCGCGCAUUAUAAUAUAUAUAAUAUUAUAAUUAAACACAUCCAGAUAAGACGUAAAACGUCUUAAUUGUCUUUAUACGCGUUUUUAUGGACGAAAAAACUAUGAUAUAAAACCGCGUGUUUACGAGCAGGAGUUCCGCGUUAUUGUGAAAGUCAAGCGCAGAAACGAUGAAACGCAACUGCAACAGUACCUAUACAUGAUGGCCAUCACGCAGAGAUCACGGUUAGUAUAUUUCGUUUGUUUGAUAUUUUUCGCUCUCCGUCCGCAUUACAAUAUACCAUUAUACCUAUACACAUCCCGAACGCGUAUCGGAUGUUUUUACAGUCGUCUAUAAACGAUCUAUUGUACCGCGAAAUAAAAUAUAUAAUAACAGUAAAAAGAAGAAAAAAAAAAAUCAUCCACAGGGGUCCCGCGCGCUGAUCGAGAAAGUGUCUUUUUAUUUUUACUCGACGGAAUCAUAGUAAUAAUGUUGUUAUAUUAUUGUGUCGUCGACGCAGUUUAAUGUCACUAUAUAACAUUAUCGUCCCAAACAGUCGACGUACCACCUGUUCACCAUACCGAUAUACCUAGGUAUCAUUAGGUAACAGUAUGUAUAAACAAUUAAGUCUCUCCGCGGCGCAUUGAUUCGACGACGACCCUAUAUAUAGGUAGGUACCGAACGUAUACCUUAAGUAUCUGAUUGUUUUAUACAUUAUUUUGAUUUUAAUUCCGGCUCGAUCGGGCGCGCGUGAAACAAUCAAAUUUAUUGUUUGGUUACGCGUACGUUUUGGUAUAUUAUAUUAUAAUGCUAUAUUAAACAGUCCGGUAUUUAUAAAUUAUGAUUCAUAUUAGAACGAAUUUUAAAAUAAACGAAGGGAAUCGCGAAUGAUCGAUGGCUUCUUCGUGCGGUUUUUCAAUGCAUUUACAUGUUUUUUUUUUUUUUUUU